rnacentral:rRNA from 1 species
AAUAACUUCGGGAAACCGGAGCUAAUGCCGGAUAACAUAUAGAACCGCAUGGUUCUAUAGUGAAAGAUGGUUUUGCUAUCACUAUAGAUGGACCCGCGCCGUAUUAGCUAGUUGGUAAGUAAUGGCUUACCAAGGCGACGAUACGUAGCCGACCUGAGAGGGUGAUCGGCCACACUGGAACUGAGACACGGUCCAGACUCCUACGGGAGGCAGCAGUAGGGAAUCUUCCGCAAUGGGCGAAAGCCUGACGGAGCAACGCCGCGUGAGUGAUGAAGGUUUCGGAUCGUAAAACUCUGUUAUUAGGGAAGAACAAAUGCGUAAGUAACUGUGCGCAUCUUGACGGUACCUAAUCAGAAAGCCACGGCUAACUACGUGCCAGCAGCCGCGGUAAUACGUAGGUGGCAAGCGUUAUCCGGAAUUAUUGGGCGUAAAGCGCGCGUAGGCGGUUUCUUAAGUCUGAUGUGAAAGCCCACGCCUCAACCGUGGAGGGUCAUUGGAAACUGGGAAACUUGAGUGCAGAAGAGGAAAGUGGAAUUCCAUGUGUAGCGGUGAAAUGCGCAGAGAUAUGGAGGAACACCAGUGGCGAAGGCGACUUUCUGGUCUGUAACUGACGCUGAUGUGCGAAAGCGUGGGGAUCAAACAGGAUUAGAUACCCUGGUAGUCCACGCCGUAAACGAUGAGUGCUAAGUGUUAGGGGGUUCCGCCCCUAGUGCUGCAGCUAACGCAUUAAGCACUCCGCCUGGGGAGUACGACCGCAAGGUUGAAACUCAAAGGAAUUGACGGGGACCCGCACAAGCGGUGGAGCAUGUGGUUAAUUCGAAGCAACGCGAAGAACCUUACCAAAUCUGACAUCCUUUGAAAACUCUAGAGAUAGAGCCUUCCCCUUCGGGGGACAAAGUGACAGGUGGUGCAUGGUUGUCGUCAGCUCGUGUCGUGAGAUGUUGGGUUAAGUCCCGCAACGAGCGCAACCCUUAAGCUUAGUUGCCAUCAUUAAGUUGGGCACUCUAGGUUGACUGCCGGUGACAAACCGGAGGAGGAAGGUGGGGAUGACGUCAAAUCAUCAUGCCCCUUAUGAUUUGGGCUACACACGUGCUACAAUGGACAAUACAAAGGGCAGCUAAACCGCGAGGUCAUGCAAAUCCCAUAAAGUUGUUCUCAGUUCGGAUUGUAGUCUGCAACUCGACUACAUGAAGCUGGAAUCGCUAGUAAUC